AAUUUAAAUAGCUCCUUGGUCAUGUGACCUACUUGACUCAAACAAGUUUCAGAACGUCCACUGACUACCCUUCUAUAUUGCACACCCUUUAGUUUGUCCAUUUUCAUCUCACACGUUCUAACAUGAAUUUUUCAAACUUUCAAAUUUCAAUAGCUCCUUGGUCAUGUUACCUACUGACUUCAAACAAGGUUCAGAAUGUCCACUUCAAGACAAUGAGGCUGCAGGCCAGGUCACAGCUCUGUGGCGAAGAAACAAUUGCGAGGUGGUGGUUGCUGUUGUGAGGUCUACAGACAAAAAUUCCUCUUUCCUUCUCCAUCAUUCAGAGUUUAAAACUCUGCAGCCCCACAAAUGGCUUGUGGAUGAGACAAUCAAAUGGUACUUUCAAGCAACCACAAAAAGCUGUGGUCACGGGACAAAGAUUUACACCCCAAAUCACUACUCAGUCCAAGUCAUUCUAAAUGGAGAAAGAAGUUUAGUGCGCAAGCAAAGUCUG